GAAGACAUGAAUCUGAGCCUCUGGGGCACCGAAGACCUUGGACUGGUUUUCUCCUCCAUCCCCUGCCUCUGGAAGGAGGCCUCUUAAAUACGAUCUGAGACAGAGAAGGGCCUCUCCUGAGAAGACAUCUGUUACCCUUGCUCUAUAGGGAGAGGCCCAAACCAGGAGUGCCCAGUUGCACAACUCCAGGGGCGCCAUUCCCACACGGUACCGCGUGCCUGUGUCCUGCAGCUGCUGCAGGCAGCCUCCCUCCUCCCCGACUGCCCUCAGUCUCUCCAGUGCCCCAUGGCCCAGUCCAUCCUCCGGGAGUUUUGCACUGUCUCUAGGUCUGCCCGCUGCAGGCCUUGUGGCAUCUUAAGCUCAAACCUGAGUCUGACGGAUGGCUGGAUGCUGGGCGGCACAGCGCGUCUGGAGUCCUUCCCGGGAGAAGCCCCAAGUACAGCCCAGUAAAUCAAUAAACAAAUUAAUAAGCAAAUACUGCUGUCUGCUGAGCUGAACUAGGACUCCCGGGUGAACAGAUUUAAAAAUCAACAACAGACGGCCACAGGGCAUGCCUGGACCGGGCACCAUACCUUCGUGGAAUUUUCAGAGGCUCCAUCCCCCAGCCCAUCACUCUCAGGACUAGAAACACGGUGGUGCGGGGGUGGGGGGACUCCUGAUUUGGGGCUGGCAGGGAGCAGCACGGGACAGGCUGUUGUCUGGGAAAACCCCCCCGCCAGCUUCGACUCUCCCUCACUUGCUCUAGUCUGCUGCUUCCUGCCAAGAGGAGGGCUUGGUGCACUGCUGGCAGGACCUUUGAUCUGGGUACCACAGAUCAUGAUGUGACCAAGGAGCCUCAGUCACGUGGGGCACCAGUUAAGGGGGUUGGCCCUUCCUAGCUGACUCCCAGCCACACUGCAGCAGCUUCUGUUCACUUCUCAGCGGGCUGCAGAGGCAGGGAGGGGGAGGCCAGGUGGCACAGGACUGACCCCAGUGGAUGCUCUGGCAGAAACCUCUGUGCCAACCCCCUCCUUCCUGUCCCCGAAUGCAGAGGCCUGCCCCUCCCCGCCCCAGUGCCCAGGAGGCCAGGGUCAGGAAGCAAACAGAAAUGCCUGCAUGCCUGCAAAUAGACUCCAACCGAUCUCAGGAGAAUUUCCAGCCAGCAGGCCUGUGGCGCCCUUUGCUGAAAGGGCCUUCUGAAUGCCCGAGUCUUCUCUUUUGUGCUCACAAAUGCCACCCAAUCGCAGCGGCCGCGAAGCUGCAUAAAUAAGGCAGAGAGAGUGUCUGCCUGGGGCGCUGGCCUCUGGGCUGCCUGCCAGGGCUGUCAGGCCGCCCAGACUUCAAUACCAACAGACUUAAGGGACAAGAAAACAGCUCAGGUAAAGGCUUGGAAGCUCAGGAGGGAAGUGACCUGUCUUGUGAGGCGACGGAGAUCAGUCUGCUCAGGGCCUUCUGAUGCUAGGCUGUCGC
rnacentral:lncRNA from 10 species